GACGUAGGGGGCGAACGUUAUCCGGAAUUAUUGGGCGUAAAGGGUGCGUAGAUGGUCUGACAAGUUAACAGUGGUAAAUCGAGGCUCAACCUCGUGGAAACUGAUAAUACUGUCUGGCUCGAGUACAGAAGAGGUUAACGGAAUUCCAUGUGGAGCGGUAAAAUGCAUAGAUAUAUGGAAGAACACCAAUAACGGCGAAGGCAGUUAACUAUGCUGUUACUGACAUUGAGGCACGAAAGCGUGGGGAGCAAAACGG
rnacentral:rRNA from 1 species